GCCCACUGAAAUUUUAAAUGGCCGCAGUAAUUUGACUGUGCAAAGGUAGCAUAAUCAUUAGUUUUUUAAUUAAAAGCUUGUAUGAAAGGUUGGACGAAGUAAAAUCUGUCUCUAUUUAAAUUAAAUAAGAAUUUAAUUUUUAAGUUAAAAAGCUUAAAUUUUAGUAAAAGACGAGAAGACCCUAUAGAGCUUUAUAAUUUAAUUAAUAUAAUAUAUUAAGAUUUAUUUAAGUUUUAUUAGUUAAAUUAUUUUAUUGGGGUAAUAGGAAGAUUAAAAUAAUUCUUUUUUAAAAUUAACAUUUAUUUAUGAUAUUAAUGAUCCAUUUUUAAUGAUUAUAAGAUUAAGUUACCUUAGGGAUAACAGCGUAAUUUUUUUGGAGAGUUCAUAUCAAUAAAAAAGUUUGCGACCUCGAUGUUGGAUUAAAGAUUAAUUUAGGUGUAGAAGUUUAAAUAUUUGGUCUGUUCGACCAUUAAAUCUUUACAUGAUCUGAGUUCAGACCGGUGUAAGCCAGGUCGGUUUCUAUCUUUAUAAAAUUUAAAUAUUUUAGUACGAAAGGACCAAAUAUUUGAUAUAUUUAUAUUUUUAUUUAUGAAUAUUAAUAUUAUUUUGGCAGAAUAGUGCAAUAAAUUUAGAAUUUAUAAAUGUAAUUAUAUUACAGAUAAUACUUGUUUUAUAUAGAUUUAUUAUUUUCUUUAAUUUGUAUAUUAUUAUUAUUAAUUUGUGUUUUAGUAGGAGUUGCUUUUUUAACUUUAUUAGAACGUAAAGUAUUAGGUUAUA
rnacentral:rRNA from 1 species